GGGCGUCUCCGGCUGCUCCCAUUGAGCUGUCUUCUCGCUGUGCCCGCUGUGCCUGCUGUGCCCGCGCUGUCGCCGCUGCUACCGCGUCUGCUGGACGCGGGAGACGCCAGCGAGCUGGUGAUUGGAGCCCUGCGGAGAGCUCAAGCGCCCAGCUCUGCCCCAGGAGCCCAGGCUGCCCCGUGAGUCCCAUAGUUGCUGCAGGAGUGGAGCCAUGAGCUGCGUCUUGGGUGGUGUCAUCCCCUUGGGGCUGCUGUUCCUGGUCUGCGGAUCCCAAGGCUACCUCCUGCCCAACGUCACUCUCUUAGAGGAGCUGCUCAGCAAAUACCAGCACAACGAGUCUCACUCCCGGGUCCGCAGAGCCAUCCCCAGGGAGGACAAGGAGGAGAUCCUGAUGCUGCACAACAAGCUUCGGGGCCAGGUGCAGCCUCAGGCCUCCAACAUGGAGUACAUGGUGAGCGCCGGCUCCGGCCGCAGAGGCUGGCACCGGGGGUGGGGCCUGGGCCACCAGCCUGCUCUGUUCCCCAGCCAGUGCGUGUGAUGGCUGGCUCAGGGUCUCCUCUGGCAGGGGAGGAUCCCGGCUCUGUUCUGUUUUGUUUGUUUGUUUUGAGACAGGGUCUCACUCUGCCACUGACGCUGGAGUGCAAUGGCACAAUCGUCAUGCCCUGAAACCUUAGACUCCCGGGGUUAAGCGAUCCUGCUUCAGCCUCCCAAGUAGCUGGAACUACAGGCAUGCACCAUGGUGCCCAGCUAGAUUUUAAAUAUUUUGUGGAGAUGGGGGUCUUGCUAUGUUGCCCAGGCUGGUCUUGAACUCCUAGGCUCAAGCAAUCCUCCUGCCUCAGCCUCUCAAAGUGCUAGGAUUAGAGGCAUGAGUCACCCUGUCUGGCUCUGGCUCUGUUCUUAACAUUCUGCCAAAACAACACACGUGGGUUCCCUGUGCAGAGCCUGCCUCGUUGCCUUCAUGUCACUCUUGGUAGCUCCACUGGGAACACAGCUCUCAGCCCUUCCCACCUGGAGGCAGAGUGGGGAGGGGCCCAGGGCUGGGCUUUGCUGAUGCUGAUCUCAGCUGUGCCACACGCUAGCUGCACCACCCUGACUUCUCCUUAGCCCGUGUGAGCCUCACUUUCCACUUGGAGAGUCCUUCCUCGCGUGGUUGCCAUGACUGUGAGAUAAGCUGAGGCUGUGAAGGGCCCGGCACAGACUGACCCUGCCUCCCCAACCCCUAGGCUUUGCUAACCGGGAAAGGAGCUAACGGUGACAGAAGACAGGCAAGGUCAACCCUCCCGGGUGCUUGUGAUGGGUGUUCCAGGUGUGGUUGGGGGAUGCUGCUACUUGACCCCAAGCUCCAGUGUGGAAACUUCCUUCCUGGCUGGUUUUCCAGAACUACAGAGGAAAGGACCACAGUCUUCCAGGGUCCCUCCUCGUCCACCAACCGGGAGCCUCCACCUUGGCCAUCCAUCAGCUAUGAAUGGCUUUUUAAACAAACCCACGUCCCAGCCUGGGUAACAUGGUAAAGCCCCGUCUCUACAAAAAAAUCCAAGUUAGCCGGGCAUGGUGGUGCGCACCUGUAGUCCCAGCUGCAGUGGGACUGAGGUGGAGGUGGAGGUGGGGGGUGGGAGCUGAGGAAGGAGGAUCACUUGAGCCUGGGAAGUCGAGGCUGCAGUGAGCUGAGAUUGCGCCACUGCACUCCAGCCUGGGUGACAGAGCAAGACCCUGUCUCAAAAA
rnacentral:sRNA from 1 species